rnacentral:rRNA from 1 species
GACGAACGCUGGCGGCGUGCCUAACACAUGCAAGUCAAGGCGGUAGCAAUACCGACUGGCGCACGGGUGCGGAACACGUAGGUAAUCUGCCCUUUAGGGGAGAACAACUCAUCGAAAGGUGAGCUAAAUCUCCGUAAUGUUUAGCUAUGGCAUCAUAGCAUAACCAAGUUUUCUGAAGGAUGAGCCUGCGUCUGAUUAGCUAGUUGGUGGUGUAAUGGACCACCAAGGCUACGAUCAGUAGCUGGUCUGAGAGGAUGAUCAGCCACAUUGGGACUGAGACACGGCCCAGACUCCUACGGGAGGCAGCAGUGAGGAAUAUUGCUCAAUGGACGAAAGUCUGAAGCAGCAACGCCGCGUGAGGGAUGAAGGUGCUCUGCAUUGUAAACCUCUGUAGUCGGAGACAAAACGGUUACUACCGUCUGAUGUAUACCAAAAGUAAGGAUCGGCUAACUACGUGCCAGCCGCCGCCGUAAC